rnacentral:lncRNA from 1 species
ACAGCCAUAUGGAAAACUUGAUGAUAAUAUGUCUUUUGCUAGAGUUUUGAGAAGCGUUGACAAACGGCAAGGAGGCCCAGAUUGUUGUGAUCCAGCAUACUAUUAUUUGUGUCCGACUGUGCCAACAAACUGUUAAUUAGAGACAAUAGAGGGUAUACAUAUGCAAUUGUAACCUAUGUAGUUUAAAAAUAAAAUAUUGUAUAUUAGAACUGCAGGUCUAAUAAAUAAUAAUUCAAAUUGU